AUGGAGGAUCCCAUCACGGCUUCGCUCGGCCCCAUGGGUCGCCUCCUCCGGCGACUCCGUUCGCUGGAGGCUUCGGAACACCCUAUGCCGGAGGGGCUCAGUGCGAACGGGAUCCGGCUUCUGAAAGAAGGUCUAGAAGGAUUGUACGACCACCUCAAGGGUUUGCCGGAGGCAGAUCUGGACAACCCUAGCUUCACGCCCAAAUGGUGGACCAAGGAGGUCCGGGAACUUGCUUACGACACGGAGGACUUCUGCGAUGAGGUUAUACAGUCCGGCGGCGGCGGCGGCGGCGGCAGCAGCGGCAGAAGCGCUCCUGUUAGUGCCAUAUUUGGAGUUACCAGUAAGCGGAAGCAGCGCCUGCCCCAGAUUGCACAAGAUUUCUCACUUUUAAUGUCUCGUGUGAAUGAUGCCAGAGAAAGAUGCAAAAUUUUCCAGUUUGCUCCGCAGACAGCCAUCAAAUCUGACCAUGGACAAGCCAGUACCAGCAGCCACACUCCUGGACUGUCGAUAGACAUGCCUGCGUUGACCGCGAUAGCCGCCGGCCAUAGCCUAGUUGGUGUCGAGGAACCCAGGAAGAAGCUUGUCAACCUGCUUGCUUUCGGCGACAAUCAGCAGAAACAGCUCAAGGUGAUACCUAUCUUUGGAUCUGCAGGAGUUGGAAAAACGACAGUUGCGAGAACAAUGUAUCAUCAGUAUGGAGGGGAAUUCCAAUGCCGUGCUUUUGUACGGGUUUCCCGGAAUCCUGAUAUGAGGAGGCUUCUCACCAGCAUCCUCUCACAAAUUAAGGCACCAGGAGCUCACACCUUUUCUGAUGCGCAGGACCUUAUUGACUGUAUCAUCAAGCAUCUUCAUCAGAAAAGGUACUUCAUUGUUGUUGAUGAUUUAUGGACAGCAUCAGUAUGGGAUAUUAUUAGCCGUGCUUUUCCUUAUGGUGAUUGUUGCAGCAGAAUACUGACAAUCACACAGAUUGAGGAUGUAGCAUUGGCAUGUUCUGGUUAUGAGUCAGAGUACAGAUUUAACUUGGAACCUCUUAAUAAUGAUGAAUCUCGAAAAUUAUUCUUCGAUACUGUUUUUGGCUCUGAAUGUGAAGGUGGUUGUCCUAAGGAAUUCGAAGUAGUUGUGGAUAGGAUUAUCAGGAAAUGCGGUCGUUUACCGUUAUCAACUCUAAAUAUAGCAAGCCUGUUGCUACCAAGCAAACCAAACCCUGCAUUUCAGCAGUGGGAGAAGGUAGAAAGUUCUCUACCCUCCACUUUGAGGACAAAUCCUACUUCCAAUGGGAUGAAAGAUGUUAUAAUCCUUGUAUAUGAUAAGCUUCCACUUCAUUUGAAGACAUGCUUGCUCUAUGUUGGUAUGUAUCCAGAGGGCUACACGAUCAGUAAGGAUGAUUUGGAGAAGCAAUGGGUUGCUGAAAGUUUUGUCAGCGACGCUGAGCAUGGUUACUUUAACGAGCUUCUCAGAAGAGGCAUGAUCCAACCGGUAGACACUAACUAUCACGGUGAGGUGUUGUCAUGUACAGUUAACCACAUGGUACUGGAUCUUAUCAGGCACAAAUCCAUGGAGGAUAAUUUCAUCAUUACUGUGAACUAUCUUGAAUCAACUAUAGGGCUUCCUGACAAGGCUCGUCGAUUGUCCAUCCAGUUCGGAGGUGCAAAAAGUGCAAAGAUACCGGAAAUCAUCAGAAUGUCCCAAGUCCGAUCGCUUUUCUUCUGUGGAUUCUCUGGAUGUGUGCCUUCCAUUCCGGAUUAUGGCCUUCUUCGAGUUUUAAUUCUUCAUAUUUGGGCUGAUCAAGACAAGAUGAGCUUUGACCUCACUGGAAUCGGUGAACUCUGUCGACUGAGAUAUGUCCAGGUUGAAUGUAAUAUCACUGUCAAUUUGCCAGACAAGAUUCAAGGGUUACGAUACUUGGAGACACUGCAAAUAGAUGGAAGACUAUCUGCUGUUCCAUCAGAUAUUGGAGAUUUGGAGAAAUUACGUCACCUCCGCCUUCCAAACCAGGCUAAUGUGAGGGACCUUGGCGGGCUGGUUAACCUCCAGGAUCUUCAUCUCACCUGUUCUACAAUACACCCAGUUGAUAAUCUGGAGGACAACAUGAAAUACCUAGGCACAGUUCUCGAGAAACUCAACAACCUCAAAUCUCUAACUCUUACAUCUUUACGCUCCUCUCCCGUAAAUACUUCGAGGAUGAGUAUUUCCUGCCAUGGCUUGAGCAGCGUGUCUUGA
rnacentral:rRNA from 1 species